UACAGAGGGUGCAAGCGUUAAUCGGAAUUACUGGGCGUAAAGCGCACGCAGGCGGUUGGUUAAGUCAGAUGUGAAAGCCCCGGGCUCAACCUGGGAAUUGCAUUUCAAACUGGCCAACUAGAGUACGUGAGAGGGGGGUAGAAUUCCAAGUGUAGCGGUGAAAUGCGUAGAGAUUUGGAGGAAUACCAGUGGCGAAGGCGGCCCCCUGGCACGAUACUGACGCUCAGGUGCGAAAGCGUGGGGAGCAAACAGG
rnacentral:rRNA from 1 species